rnacentral:rRNA from 1 species
AACGAACGCUGGCGGCAUGCCUAAUACAUGCAAGUCGAACGAGAUCUUCGGAUCUAGUGGCGCACGGGUGCGUAACGCGUGGGAAUCUGCCCUUGGGUUCGGAAUAACUUCUGGAAACGGAAGCUAAUACCGGAUGAUGACGUAAGUCCAAAGAUUUAUCGCCCAAGGAUGAGCCCGCGUAGGAUUAGCUAGUUGGUGGGGUAAAGGCCCACCAAGGCGACGAUCCUUAGCUGGUCUGAGAGGAUGAUCAGCCACACUGGGACUGAGACACGGCCCAGACUCCUACGGGAGGCAGCAGUAGGGAAUAUUGGACAAUGGGCGAAAGCCUGAUCCAGCAAUGCCGCGUGAGUGAUGAAGGCCUUAGGGUUGUAAAGCUCUUUUACCCGGGAUGAUAAUGACAGUACCGGGAGAAUAAGCUCCGGCUAACUCCGUGCCAGCCGCCGCCGUAAUAC